AAUGAGGUUAAACAGUUGCUCUCCAGACAGAGAGAGAAAGAGGAGGUUAAACAGUUGCUCUCUAGACAGAGAGAGAAAGAGGAGGUUAAACAGUUGCUCUCCAGACAGAGAGAGAAAGAGGAGGUUAAACAGUUGCUCUCCAGACAGCGAGAGAAAGAGGAGGUUAAACAGUUGCUCUCUAGACAGAGAGAGAAAGAGGAGGUUAAACAGUUGCUCUCGAGACAGAGAGAGAAAGAGGAGGUUAAACAGUUGCUCUCUAGACAGAGAGAGAAAGAGGUUAAACAGUUGCUCUCUAGACAGAGAGAGAAAGAGGAGGUUAAACAGUUGCUCUCCAGACAGAGAGAGAAAGAGGAGGUUAAACAGUUGCUCUCUAGACAGAGAGAGAAAGAGGAGGUUAAACAGUUGCUCUCUAGACAGAGAGAGAAAGAGGAGGUUAAACAGUUGCUCUCCAGACAGAGAGAGAAAGAGGAGUUUAAACAGUUGCUCUCCAGACAGAGAGAGAAAGAGGAGGUUAAACAGUUGCUCUCCAGACAGAGAGAGAAAGAGGAGGUUAAACAGUUGCUCUCCAGACAGAGAGAGAAAGAGGAGGUUAAACAGUUGCUCUCCAGACAGAGAGAGAAAGAGGAGGUUAAACAGUUGCUCUCUAGACAGAGAGAGAAAGAGGAGGUUAAACAGUUGCUCUCCAGACAGAGAGAGAAAGAGGAGGUUAAACAGUUGCUCUCCAGACAGAGAGAGAAAGAGGAGGUUAAACAGUUGCUCUCCAGACAGAGAGAGAAAGAGGAGGUUAAACAGUUGCUCUCCAGACAGAGAGAGAAAGAGGAGGUUAAACAGUUGCUCUCCAGACAGAGAGAGAAAGAGGAGGUUAAACAGUUGCUCUCUAGACAGAGAGAGAAAGAGGAGGUUAAACAGUUGCUCUCCAGACAGAGAGAGAAAGAGGAGGUAAACAGUUGCUCUCCAGACAGAGAGAGAAAGAGGAGGUUAAACAGUUGCUCUCCAGACAGAGAGAGAAAGAGGAGGUUAAACAGUUGCUCUCCAGACAGAGAGAAAGAGGUUAAACAGUUGCUCUCUAGACAGAGAGAGAAAGAGGAGGUUAAACAGUUGCUCUCCAGACAGAGAGAGAAAGAGGAGGUUAAACAGUUGCUCUCCAGACAGAGAGAGAAAGAGGAUGUUAAACAGUUGCUCUCCAGACAAAGAGAGAAAGAGGAGGUUAAACAGUUGCUCUCUAGACAGAGAGAGAAAGAGGAGGUUAAACAGUUGCUCUCCAGACAGAGAGAGAAAGAGGAGGUUAAACAGUUGCUCUCUAGACAGAGAGAGAAAGAGGAGGUUAAACAGUUGCUCUCCAGACAGAGAGAGAAAGAGGAGGUUAAACAGUUGCUCUCUAGACAGAGAGAGAAAGAGGAGGUUAAACAGUUGCUCUCCAGACAGAGAGAGAAAGAGGAGGUUAAACAGUUGCUCUCCAGACAGAGAGAGAAAGGGGAGGUUAAACAGUUGCUCUCCAGACAGAGAGAGAAAGAGGAGGUUAAACAGUUGCUCUCUAGACAGAGAGAGAAAGAGGAGGUUAAACAGUUGCUCUCCAGACAGAGAGAGAAAGAGGAGGUUAAACAGUUGCUCUCCAGACAGAGAGAGAAAGAGGAGGUUAAACAGUUGCUCUCCAGACAGAGAGAGAAAGAGGAGGUUAAACAGUUGCUCUCCAGACAGAGAGAGAAAGAGGAGGUUAAACAGUUGCUCUCCAGACAGAGAGAGAAAGAGGAGGUUAAACAGUUGCUCUCCAGACAGAGAGAGAAAGAGGAGGUUAAACAGUUGCUCUCUAGACAGAGAGAGAAAGAGGUUAAACAGUUGCUCUCCAGACAGAGAGAGAAAGAGGCGGUUAAACAGUUGCUCUCCAGACAGAGAGAAAGAGAGAAGCAGGGUUUUUUGUUUGUGGCCGGUUCUGUGUAUGUACGCCUGUGUAGGUGUGUAUAUGUGUGUGCGUGUGUUUGUGCAUGUUUGUGUGUGUGUGUGUUUUGA
rnacentral:lncRNA from 8 species